rnacentral:tRNA from 1 species
GUUCCUGUAGUUAAAUUUUUAUAACAGCGGUUUUUCAGAUCGUAAAUCUUGGGGAGGAUCCAGGCAGGAACU